rnacentral:rRNA from 1 species
CUACGGGUUGCAGCAGUGAGGAAUAUUGCACAAUGGGGGGAACCCUGAUGCAGCAACGCCGCGUGGAGGAUGACGCAUUUCGGUGUGUAACUCCUUUUAUAUGUCAAGAAAAUGACGGUAGCAUAUGAAUAAGCACCGGCUAACUCCGUGCCAGCAGCCGCGGGUAAGGUACGGAGGGUGCAAGCGUUACUCGGAAUCACUGGGCGUAAAGGACGCGUAGGCGGGUUGGAAAGUAAGGUGUGAAAUCCUACAGCUUAACUGUAGAACUGCACUUGAAACUUCUAAUCUAGAGUAUGGGAGGGGGAGAUGGAAUUAGUGGUGUAGGGGUAAAAUCCGUAGAUAUCACUAGGAAUACCUAAAGCGAAGGCGAUCUCCUGGAACAUUACUGACGCUAAGGCGUGAAAGCGUGGGGAGCAAACAGGAUUAGAUACCCCUGUAGUC